AGUCAUCAACCCCUCCCGUUUUUGUGCGGGUUCGGGCUGGAUCUGGGGGCUUGCGGCCGCGUAGGCCGCUCCCCUCAAAUGCAUCGGUUGGGCCUGUGGGUCGAACUCGACUGGGCGUUGUACCAUCCUCGCUCUCCCGAGACGUUCCCCUUCUGCGCCCUCCCACGACCUGCCUAUGGAGCGGCGGUCAAGCAAAACUUUGAA
rnacentral:misc_RNA from 1 species